rnacentral:rRNA from 1 species
AUUGAACGCUGGCGGCAGGCCUAACACAUGCAAGUCGAGCGGAUGAAGGGAGCUUGCUCCUGGAUUCAGCGGCGGACGGGUGAGUAAUGCCUAGGAAUCUGCCUGGUAGUGGGGGAUAACGUCCGGAAACGGGCGCUAAUACCGCAUACGCCCUGAGGGAGAAAGUGGGGGAUCUUCGGACCUCACGCUGUCAGAUGAGCCUAGGUCGGAUUAGCUAGUUGGUGGGGUAAAGGCCUACCAAGGCGACGAUCCGUAACUGGUCUGAGAGGAUGAUCAGUCACACUGGAACUGAGACACGGUCCAGACUCCUACGGGAGGCAGCAGUGGGGAAUAUUGGACAAUGGGCGAAAGCCUGAUCCAGCCAUGCCGCGUGUGUGAAGAAGGUCUUCGGAUUGUAAAGCACUUUAAGUUGGGAGGAAGGGCAGUAAGUUAAUACCUUGCUGUUUUGACGUUACCAACAGAAUAAGCACCGGCUAACUUCGUG